GAUGAACGCUAGCUACAGGCUUAACACAUGCAAGUCGUGGGGCAUCAUGAUGUAGUAAUACAUUGAUGGCGACCGGCGCACGGGUGAGUAACGCGUAUCCAACCUACCCUCCACUCAAGUAUAGGCUUCCGAAAGGGAGAUUAAUCCUUGAUAUCGUCAUUCUCUCUCCUGUUAGAAUGAUAAAAGGACAUCGUUUCGGUAGAGGAUGGGGAUGCGUUCCAUUAGGUAGUAGGUGGUUUAACAGGCCACCUAGCCGAUGAUGGAUAGGGGUUCUGAGAGGAAUAUCCCCCACACUGGUACUGAGAUACGGACCAGACUCCUACGGGAGGCAGCAGUGAGGAAUAUUGGUCAAUGGGCGCAAGCCUGAACCAGCCAUGUAGCGUG
rnacentral:rRNA from 1 species